CCCCUGUGCAUGUAGUGGCUAAUGUCGUGAAGGAUGUUAUCAAUCUUUGUUCUAGGUAGGCUGGCCAUCAUUGUUGCUGAAUCCAGUAGAAUACCUAGAAAAUUGAUGACUGUGUCUGGCCCUUCCGUUUUGGUGGGAGAUAUGGGGACACCGAGUGCGGUGAAUAGUUUGACAGCUUUGUCUAGGCUACACGGGGGGUAGGUAUU